AUAAAGCUCUUCAUUUACUAUGUAGAACACUAUCCAACAUACUUCAUCAUUAAGAUUUAACAAAACCUUAAUAUUCUUCAUUUAUACUUCAUACAUGAUUAACAAUCAAUUAAAGAUUAGCAAUGAGCAUUAUAAGCAUCAACAUGCAUCAACAAUCAUGUAAGAAUACCAUUAUCAUGAAGAAUAAGACACUGAUUUGAAACUACAUGCAAAGGAAGAUAGCAGAUGAAAAUUUGUGAAAUCUGCAGUAUUUUCGCCU
rnacentral:lncRNA from 1 species